UACAGAGGUCUCGAGCGUUAGGCGGAAUCACUGGGCUUAAAGCGUGUGUAGGCGGAUCGUUAAGUACCUUGUGAAAUCCCACGGCUUAACCGUGGAACUGCUUGGUAUACUGGCGGUCUUGAGCCAGCUAGGGGCUACCGGAACAAAUGGUGGAGCGGUGAAAUGCGUAGAUAUCAUUUGGAACGCCAAUGGUGAAAACAGGUAGCUGGGGCUGUGCUGACGCUGAGAACACGGAAAGCCAGGGGAGCAAACGG
rnacentral:rRNA from 1 species